UAAUCGUAAUCAUCUUCAGCUCUGUACCCUGCCAUCACUUCUUCGCUUGCUUUGCUUCAAAUAAAGGAAUUGGGUCUUGUAUUUCUUCCAAAAAAAAAAAAUCAAUCCUUCAAAUCUAAAAGCUUAUGUGUGCUUUUGAAAGCUCUGGAGGUGAACUGGAAAUGGGUGAGACUCCUGUCCGUACUCCAGAAAAGAAAAUUGGAGAAAGCGAACGUCUGAUCCUUUAGAAGGAGAUUUAAA
rnacentral:misc_RNA from 1 species